GUUUUUGUUUGAACAAAUACAACAUAAACCUGUAGCAUAAAGUAGCAGAAAUAACAGGACAAGUGAAGAAAUCAAUUCAGAUUAAAGACUCUUGAUAUCUUUCUCUGUUGUCUGUAUUUCAUUUGUAUAAAUUAUCAUUUUCAUAACUAAACAAAGUCACUGUGAAUUUUACAUUAUAUUCUCUUAAUGGCACUGGAGAAGCAAUAUGCAUGAAUUCAAACUUUAUAAUAGCUGUAAAACCACUGCUACUUUUAUUGUAGCUUUUACAGUUUGCAGUAAAAUUCUUUGGUGAUUGUGCAGUUCAUGGUAAAUUAAUUUCUUGCCUUUUUAGUUCAUUGUAUAUUUUGAGCCUAUAAAACAAAUAUUUACAGCUAUGCUUUUCUAAUUCCUGCAGCCAUUUUUGUACCUAAGUUGAGCUAAUUAUCACAUCUUCACCUUGUUUUGCUUCUCCUUGAAAGUCAUAGACUUCAUCUUGCAUGUUCAAGGUCAUUUGUAAAGUUCCUGCUGAGUUCAGAGGAAGGGUAUAAACACAUCCCAAAAUCCUCGUUUGUUACAGAUUUUUACUUCUGCUACAAAAACAGAAAUACAAAAGUCAGAAAAACUGUCCUGUUCCUGUUACGUGACUGCUCUCUUAACUGUAUGUACUGUGUACGGGGCAGAGCUGUCUGCACACUGCUUACUACCUACCUGAUCAUGUACUCAAAUAUUUUCAAGAUGUGAAAGAGGAACAUCAGAAGAAAUGCAUGAAAAGCAAUCCAAAAAGAUCCUGGGGGGAGUGCGAAAGGCAAGGAGCCAAUUACAGACACCGGACAUGGGAUGCCACAGCCAUGGUCAGUAAUAGCAGUGCAGAUACAGAGGAAAUUGAGAGAGACUGUUCCAUGGUGGUUAGAGCUGCAGUGGGGUUUACAGUAUGACACCAUUCACUUGGAUCCUUUAAACUACUGGGUUGGAGAGCCCUUGUUUUGUGAUAGUGAUGUGAAGUGAAAUUUUAAGAGUUACCACCCUUGAGUAUUUAUAGAGGGACUUCCAGUGGCAAUGGGACUCUUGUCUUCUAGGAGAAUCACGGUGCUAUUUAAUGCUAUGUGCAAGUCAAUGCAGUGCAGUUUGUUCCUUAAACCCAGGUGAAAUAAUACUUCUCACUCAAGAUUUUUGGAAUAUAUUUUCCAAAACAAACAUCUGAAGGUAAGAGGAAAACAAAAUCCUGGUUUCUAUGACAGCCAUGGUUGAAGAAGAUUUUAAACUGAAUAUGGUAUUAAUCAUUUUACAGAAAAAGUUGUUGUGUUUAUUAGAAAUAAUGCACGCAAUAAAUGCUAUUACUCACUUUAACAGUAAGAUUAAUUCAGGAUUCCCUCAGACAGCCUUUAGUUGUGAUUUGUCACUUUUGGAAAAGGACCUUCCUAUUUAUUAAUCUGUGCUUCUGACCAGUGAUUUUCUUACCAGCGGUAGGGCCAGUCCCCAAGCUGGGGGCAGGGAGGAGGUGGCCAUGGGCUGCCCUGCCUCCUGCUCGUGGCAGGCUGCUGCAGCCGGGCUGCUGGAGCUGUAGCUCUGUGUCAUUUCAACUGAAUGCCAGAAUGAGUUCUGGAGGUUAUGGUUUGCACCUUUUUCAUAGGUAAGACAUUUGUUAUUUUAAAAUAAAAGCAGUGGUUUUAUGAGUCAUAUUGAUUUUAUUAUUAGCAAUACCAAACAAAGUACCAAAGGCAAAUUGGAAGGGGGGGAAGGAAUUUUGAGCCAGGGCUUGAAUCUGUUUUAUUUUUAGCACUUUUUCAAGUUACUAUUCAUAACUGCCAGAAACUGACAAGCAGGAGAAACACAGUGUGAAUCAAGAUGUUCAGUAGUCAUCUGUUCACGUUUUUAAUUUGCAAAUUUGGCAUGCAAAUAAAUCUUUUGCUGCUGGUGUUGAUGCUGCUGAACGGUGUCCACACACCUACUGGUGUGUUAAUGGUCAGCUAUAUGGGGACUUUGGUUGAAACUUAACUGGUGGCUUUCUGUACGUGGUAGCCAUUAAGUGGCAUAAUUUAAAAAAUAAUAUAAGGUAAAAAUCCAAGAUCUUACCUCAAUAAGCUUUGUAAUGUACUGUUGCUGCUCCACAAUGAGUCAAAAAAUGAGAAGUAUGUGAACUGUUAAGCUGAGCUUCGUGUCCUGGACUUAGUAACUAUUACUGCCUGCUCUCCAAGGAUGUGGAUGUUUCAGCGAAGAGCUGCCCACAACAGCAGGGGCAUAUUCUUCUCUAGCAGCUUUUGACCAUCUCACCAUUUGCCAGCCAGCUGUACUUCUGAAGGGAUCACUUUCUAUUUCUCUUCACUAGAAAUGAUCCAUACUAGUAAAGAGAUUGAAGAGCAAUCCCCAUGGCCCAUAAACUGGACUCUCGGUGUAAAUUGUAGCAUGGGAGUGGGAAUGACAGACAGAUGUCAAGCAGGCACUCCAGGCUGACCUGGAAUGGAAAUGCAGACAGGUGCUGUGUUGACCAUGCUCUACCACCCAGGAGGCAACAAAGCUUGGGAAGAAACCUGCCCCCUUUAUUUCUUAAUGCCUUUCUCUCUUACAGGACUUAAACAAGCACCAUUAUGUUAAUAGUAUCUAUUUGACCCAAUUAUUUAAUGAACUGUUUAAUAAAGGAGUAGACUGGCCCAGACUCUGAUACAGUGAGCUGUACAAAAUCAGUCGGUAUUCAGGAAGGAACACAAGGAGUGAGGGCACCAGUGGUAGCAUAAUGCAUUAUUUAUAAAAUUAGUCCCUUUAGAACAUGCUGCUUUUAUCUGCAUAUAUAUCUUGCUGAGCUGCCAACUGGGGAGGAAGGGGAAAAGAAAGGAGAAGAACGGGCGUUUUCACUGGAGAUGAUCUAUUUGGUGACUCUGGCACCCUGGUGGUGCAGUGAGCAGGUUCUCAUCACGCGGCACUGAAGUCUCAGCCUGCAGCAGGUGCUGGGAACGAAGUGCUGACAGCACCAACGGGCAGCCUGAGGGCAUGUAUUGGACCUCAGAGGUCAUUUUGUGCCCAGGACAGUACUGCAGGGCUGAGCCCUGGUGUGCUCCUGGUCUCUGAAGCGCUGGCUGUCCAGUUGUGCUGGGCAUGUGGGGAGGCCAGCUAGGCGGAUGGGCAGGGUGGGCUUCCAGGGACCUGUGCUUGCAGUGCUUUGCCUGGGGAGCUGCAGAAUGUGCAGCAAAGGCAGGGCAGGGAACAUGCUGUGCGUGUCUGCGGGUGGGAUACCUGUUGGUGAGUCCACUGGAUGCGAAGAAGGGAGUGAGAUUCCUGAGUGACCUGCAGUAAAGAUUUACUCUAACUACCAGCACACUGCUAUUAGUCCAAUUCUACUUGAAAAAAAUUGAAUUCAGGUUGAUUGCCUGGGUGUAGUGCUAGCUUGGAGUAAGUGCCCUGUGGCA